UCCCUGGUGGCCCAGUGGUUAGGACUCCACGCUCCCAAUGUAGGGGCGCGGGUUCGAUCCCCGGUCAGGGAA